GAUGAAGAACGCAGCGAAAUGCGAUAAGUAAUGUGAAUUGCAGAAUUCAGUGAAUCAUUGAAUCUUUGAACGCACCUUGCACCCUUUGGCAUUCCGAAGGGUAUGCUCGUUUGAGUGUCAUUGUACUCUCACACUCUCCGAUCCUAUGGAUUCGGGGAGCGGUGGACUUGGGUGUUGCUGCCUUUCCUUGUGGCUCACCUCAAAUGUGUCAGUGCACCUCUUGGUUGGACAUAGUACGGCGUGAUAAGUGUCUUCGCCGGCACCUCGCAAGAGGGUGGCCGAUCGGGAGCUCUGUGCUUUCAAACCGUCUUCGGACAAUUUCUGACAACUUGACCUCAAAUCGAGUAGGACUACCCGCUGAACUUAAGCAUAUCAAUAAGCGGAGGA
rnacentral:misc_RNA from 1 species